UGGAUAUUGAGGAAAAAGCUUUUGUUGUCGUUUCGAUAAAAUAAGAUUGCAAAAAUUAUUUUUAAACGCUAAUUUCCUUUGCAUAUAUAGAUGUGUGAAAAUCUUGGUUGGAAUUCGAUUGGACCAGGUGUCUCAUAUUGUACAUUGUGUACCUGCACAAUAAUUAUGUUGCAGGACAAAUUUGCAUAGUGAGAUAGUGUAUAAUUGUCCUUCAGCAAUCUUCAGUAAGUGUAUAUAACGGAUCUAAUCCCUAAGGAUGUUACCUAGUCAUCAUCAAAACAUAGAAUAAUAGUAUAAUCUAUGCCUAAAGAAAUUAAAUUCAAG
rnacentral:lncRNA from 1 species